UCCCUGGUGGCUCAGAGGUUACAGCGUCUGCCUCCAAUGCGGGAGACCUGGGUUCGAUUCCUGGGUUGGGAA
rnacentral:tRNA from 1 species